AACGUAGGGGGCAAGCGUUGUCCGGAAUCACUGGGCGUAAAGGGCGCGUAGGCGGCAAUAUAAGUCAGGUGUGAAAAGUGAGGGCUCAACCGUUAGAGUGCACCUGAUACUGUAUAGCUUGAGUAUGGGAGAGGGAAGCGGAAUUCCUAGUGUAGCGGUGAAAUGCGUAGAUAUUAGGAAGAACACCAGUGGCGAAGGCGGCUUUCUGGCCCAAAACUGACGCUGAGGCGCGAAAGCGUGGGGAGCAA
rnacentral:rRNA from 1 species